GCUUACGGCCAUACCACCCUGAACGCGCCCGAUCUCGUCUGAUCUCGGAAGCCAAGCAGGGUCGGGCCUGGUCAGUACUUGGACGGGAGACCGCCUGGGAAUACCGGGUGCUGUAAGCU
rnacentral:rRNA from 1 species